rnacentral:lncRNA from 1 species
CACAGUCGACGCUUCCCGAAAAACUCGGGGGCCCCCUCCCCGCUGGCGUGCACCCCGUGAUUGCGCCGCGGCCGGCACUUCCGCCCCGCGGGCCCUGCGGCCCGGGCAGGGCGCACGCUCCGCGCCCUGCGCCCGCGGUCCUGCCCCCUCGGAGGCGCCCGCGCCCGGGGAGGGCUGGGGGUUCCCGCGGCGCCCGCGGGCGGAGGGUGGGGGAAAGGAAGGAGGAUUUGCAACAAUACCUCGGGGAGGAGGCAGCCGGGGCAGCGGCGGCGGCGGCGGCGGCUGGAGGCGGAGGCAGAGGCGCAGGAGGAGGUGCCGGGCACUCCCCCUCCCAUUGUCCCCAGCCCCGGCCAGGCCCGGCCCCGCGCCCCGCACCGCGCCCCGCGCCCCGCGCCCCGGGCCGUGCAGGCAGCCCUUACCUUGCAGCGCCCGGCUCUCCCCCGCUCGCUAAAGCUACUUAUCCCGGGAAAGCUCGCGCGGGGCCCGGGAGCGAACCCACAGACAAAAAGUGAAACUUCGGCAGGGCUGGAGCGGCUGCUGGUUGGUGCCUUUCCCCCUCCUUCCUCCCCACCGUCCCCACCCCCUCCCCUCGGUCUCCCGUGCGGUGCCCUGAGAGCUGGAGGCUGACGUCAGGGGCCUGAAUUCCUGACUUUGCCUGCACGCAUUUGUCCAUGUAAGCUUCUUUGCCCAUCUAAGAACACAACUCUAGAGAACUGGGCCAUCAGACACUUUUCUUCGGGGAAUAACACUGGAUUAAAAGGCAGUUCAAGGGGCCGGCCCCGUGGCCGAGAGAUUAAGUUCACGCACUCCACUUCGGCAGCCCAGAGUUUCGCCGGUUUGGAUCCUGGGUGUGGACAUGGCACCGCUCAUCAAGCCAUGCUGAGGGGGCACCCCGCAUGCCACAACUAGAAGGACCCACAACUAAAAAUACACAACUAUGUACCGGGGGAUUUUGGGAGAAAAAUGAAAAAUAAAAUAAAAUAAAAUAAAGACAGUUCAAGGCAUGCCAAGAGGAAUUGUGAUUAUCUGCUCUAGGAGCAUUGUCCACACCAUGAAUUAUUAUGCACCCUGGACCUGUCUCUUUCGAGUCACUGACAAGUGGAGGAGACACCUAGUUUAAAACUCUAGCUUAGCCUCUGACCAGUGAAAACAUGUAGACCAUGUCGAAUUAGCAACAAAUACCUCCCCCUCUCCACUGGGAGAGGACUGGGUGGCAGAAGCAGAAGUUUCCUUUCAACACACCACAGUUCCCACCCCAGAGAAAUGACAACAGCAGACGUUGGGCCAGGGGGAUAUAUAUUCAGACACACCGCCCCUCCAGCACAGGUUGUUAGAGAAGAGUUCUGCAGAAACACAGGACUGUCAGCAGAACCUGGGGGAACCCUCUACCCUGUCUAGGGACCUAUACCAAG